AGAGUUGAUCCUGGCUCAGGAUGAACGCUAGCUACAGGCUUAACACAUGCAAGUCGAGGGCAGCAUUGGGAUAGCUUGCUAUUCAGAUGGCGACCGGCGCACGGGUGAGUAACGCGUAUCCAACCUUCCUGCCAGUAGGGAACAGCCCGGCGAAAGUCGGAUUAAUGCCCUAUGUUCUUCAAUGCGGACAUCUAAGUUGAAGGAAAGAUUCAUCGCUGGCAGAUGGGGAUGCGUCCGAUUAGCUUGCCGGCGGGGUAACGGCCCACCGGGGCGACGAUCGGUAGGGGUUCUGAGAGGAAGGUCCCCCACAUUGGAACUGAGACACGGUCCAAACUCCUACGGGAGGCAGCAGUGAGGAAUAUUGGUCAAUGGUCGAGAGACUGAACCAGCCAAGUAGCCGUGCAGGACGACGGCCCUAUGGGUUGUAAACUGCUUUUAUGCGGGGAUAAAGUGAGGGACGUGUCCCUUUUUGUAGGUACCGCAUGAAUAAGGACCGGCUAAUUCCGUGCCAGCCGCAGC
rnacentral:rRNA from 1 species